CCUACGGGUGGCUGCAGUGAGGAAUAUUGGUCAAUGGACGAGAGUCUGAACCAGCCAAGCCGCGUGAGGGAGGACUGCUCUAUGGGUUGUAAACUUCUUUUAUAUGGGAAUAAAACGUUCCACGUGUGGGAUUUUGUAUGUACCAUACGAAUAAGGAUCGGCUAACUCCGUGCCAGCAGCCGCGGUAAUACGGAGGAUCCGAGCGUUAUCCGGAUUUAUUGGGUUUAAAGGGAGCGUAGGUGGGUUGUUAAGUCAGUUGUGAAAGUCCGCGGCUCAACCGUAGGUCUGCCGUUGAAACUGGCAGUCUAGAGUGCAGUAGAGGUGGGUGGAAUUCGUGGUGUAGCGGUGAAAUGCGUAGAUAUCACGAAGAACUCCGAUGGCGAAGGC
rnacentral:rRNA from 1 species